UACGUAGGUGGGCAAGCGUUGUCCGGGAAUUAUUUGGGCGUAAAGCGCGCGCAGGCGGUCCUUUUAAGUCUGAUGUGAAAGCCCACGGCUCAACCGUGGAGGGUCAUUGGAAACUGGGGGACUGAGUACAGAAGAGAAGAGUGGAAUUCCACGUGUAGCGGUGAAAUGCGUAGAGAUGUGGAGGAACACCAGUGGCGAAGGCGACUCUUUGGUCUGUAACUGACGCUGAGGCGCGAAAAGCGUGGGGAGCAAACAGG
rnacentral:rRNA from 1 species